AUGGACAUGAGGGACCAUGCUCAGCUCGUUUGGUUCCUAUUUCUCUGCCUUUCAGGUUCCAGAGGUGACAUCCAGGUGACACAGUCUCCAUCCUCCCUGUCAGCAUCUCUAGGAGACAGAGUCACCAUCACUUGCAGAACAAGUCAGGAUAUUAGCAGAUAUUUACAAUGGUUCCAGCAGAAACCAGGGCAAGCUCCUAAGCUCCUGAUCUAUCAGGCAUCCAACUUGGAAGAUGGGGUCCCAUCAAGGUUCAGUGGCAGUGGGUCUGGGACAGAUUAUUCUCUCACCAUCAGCAGCCUGGAGUCUGAAGAUGUUGCAAAUUAUUAA